rnacentral:rRNA from 1 species
AACGCGAAGAACCUUACCAGCCCUUGACAUCCCGGUCGCGGGAACGAGAGAUCGAUCCCUUCAGUUCGGCUGGACCGGAGACAGGUGCUGCAUGGCUGUCGUCAGCUCGUGUCGUGAGAUGUUGGGUUAAGUCCCGCAACGAGCGCAACCCUCGCCCUUAGUUGCCAUCAUUUAGUUGGGCACUCUAAGGGGACUGCCGGUGAUAAGCCGCGAGGAAGGUGGGGAUGACGUCAAGUCCUCAUGGCCCUUACGGGCUGGGCUACACACGUGCUACAAUGGCGGUGACAAUGGGAUGCAAUGGGGUAACCCUGCGCAAAUCUCAAAAAGCCGUCUCAGUUCGGAUUGUGCUCUGCAACUCGAGCACAUGAAGUUGGAAUCGCUAGUAAUCGCAGAUCAGCACGCUGCGGUGAAUACGUUCCCGGGCCUUGUA